GGUAGAGGGGGUUGGCGCACCCCAGAUGGUCCUUAGGCCCAUCUGCACUAGGGUUUCCCCCAUUCCCUCUCUUGUGGCGCCUUGGGCCUAGGUGGGAGGCACACCAGCCCACUCUUGACUGGUUCCCUUCCACCUAUUGGCCCAUGCUAGCCUUUGGGGCUGGUGGCCCCUCCCAGUGGACCCCCGGAACCCUACUGGUGGUCCCGGUACAUUACCGGUGUCGCCUGAUACAAUUCCGGCGACCAAAUCCUCACUUCCUAUAUAUAAUUCUUUACCUCCGGACCAUUCCGAAGCUCCUCGUGACGUCCGGGGUCUCAUCC
rnacentral:lncRNA from 1 species